UGAUAUAUUACACAAACCAGCAAAGAUGAGGCCUUAAAGUCAACUGCACACUGGAUUCGACGCCAGAGGCUCUCCAGUGCUGCCUGCCGCUCCUGCAGCUUUGGCUGAUAUCACAGGUACAUUUCUGAAGGAACUCCAUCCUAAGGGACUCUGAGGAUGCCUAUCCCUGCUUUCCAAGUGUGUUAAUUGCACCAAAGGACAGAGAUCUUCUCAACAGUAUUCAAGUCUUCAGCCACACUUACCUAGUCCUGGUGGGACCGCAUCCUGAAGUGGAGAGAGGAUGAGAGGCUUCUAAACGCACCACCCUGCUUCCCGGGAAGGAUGUUAUGCGAUGGUUUGUGAUCACCUCCUGGGUUCGGACGAAGCACACACGACUCAGACACAGGCCACCCCG